GCCUCUAUAACUCAGUGGUAGAGCACUGGUCUCGUAAACCAGGGGUCGCGAGUUCGAACUUCGCUGGAGGCU